UACAGAGGUGGCAAGCGUUGUUCGGAAUUACUGGGCGUAAAGGGCGCGUAGGCGGCCUUCUAAGUCAGACGUGAAAUCCCCCGGCUUAACCUGGGAACUGCGUCUGAUACUGGGAGGCUCGAGUAUGGGAGAGGGAUGUAGAAUUCCAGGUGUAGCGGUGAAAUGCGUAGAUAUCGGGAAGAACACCCGUGGCGAAGGCGGUUCUCUGGGACGGUACUGACGCUGAGACGCGAAAGCGUGGGGAGCGAACAGG
rnacentral:rRNA from 1 species